rnacentral:rRNA from 1 species
AGUGAAUAGAUACCCAGGUAGUCCUAGCCGUAAACGAUACUCGCUAGGUGUCGGCCACGGUGCGACCGUUGUCGGUGCCGUAGGGAAAGCCGUGAAGCGAGCCACCUGGGAAGUACGGCCGCAAGGCUGAAACUUAAAGGAAUUGGCGGGGGAGCACCACAACGGGUGGAGCUUGCGGUUUAAAUUGGAUUCAACGCCGGAAAUCUUACCGGGACCGACAGCGAUAUGAAGGCCAGGCUGAAGACUUUGCCGGAUUAGCUGAGAGGUGGUGCAUGGCCGUCGUCAGUUCGUACUGUGAAGCAUCCUGGUAAGUCAGGCAACGAGCGAGACCCACGCCCACAGUUGCCAGCGUACUCUCCGGAGUGACGGGUACACUGUGGGGACCGCCGCUGCUAAAGCGGAGGAAGGAAUGGGCAACGGUAGGUCAGUAUGCCCCGAAUAUCCCGGGCUACACGCGAGCUACAAUGGUUGGAACAAUGGGUAUCUACCCCGAAAGGGGUAUGGAAAUCUCCUAAAUCCAAUCUUAGUUCGGAUUGAGGGCUGCAACUCGCCCUC